UAUACCUUCAUAUAUUCCAUUGAUGAAAGGUUAUCGGGUGUGUAUUUUAAAUUUGACCAAAUGGAUCAUAUCGAUAUAUAUGCAUCUACUUCUAUAUCUAUAUCUAUAUAUUAUUAUGCAUCUACUUCUAUAUCUAUAUCUAUAUAUUAAAUAAAAGGGGACUAAGGGUAAAAAGAGCAAGAAAAAUGCUUGUAAAAUUACGUAUAUGCCCUCAGUUUUUCACAUAAUUCCUGCAAUGCCAUCAGCUCUUCGUUUUCUUCGUACUCUAGAACAGUUUCUUCAUGUGUAUAUCAUCCGGCUGCUUUUGAUUCACCUCAACUAUUCCCUCCUUACCAACAAUUAUGUCUGUAUGGGUUGUCUCUCCCAGACUGGGCCCUAACAUAUAUAGAAUUUCAAUCAGUGCCAUGCUCUCUAUAUUAGUAAUAUUACACAGCCGCUUGGGUUAUAUUGCCGGCCACCAUCUAAAGAAUUAGCGGACGUGGGGACCGAAGCAUACAAACACAUACACGCACUUGAGGAAAUCGGAUAGUGCGACCUAGGGUUUUAGCUAGGUCCAUCAUCGCCAUUCGGAGCUCCAUUUAGUCCAGAAAUAUGGCAUCAUCUGAUAGUGAACUGAGGAUUUGUUCCAUGAUAAAAAGCUUGUGAAGAAUCCCUUCGUCCCGGUUUCUCUUUCCCUCUUUAUUCAUUUCUGCCCUUAUUUGUAUUUGUAUAUAUGGAUUACACCGUAUAUGCUGUGCCAAUUAUUUUAUCAGCUUUGUUACAAUAUUAUAAUCAUUUUACAAUGUUAGCUCCAUUGUUGCCCAGCUUUUGAUGAAGACUGAGAAGCAUGCCUGUUUGGUAUCUGAACAAUUAAAUUCCUUUCAGCUUCAGCCUUGUUUUGUAGUUCUAUAAGAUGAGAUACAGAACUUUAUUCUUUUGAGUGGCCCGCUUGCAUCAAAACAACAACUCUAUUCGGCUUAUAAUGGAAUGGGAUACUUGUAUGUUAAAGGUUAUGUUGUGAAGAAAAAGAACUUUACCAAAGUAAGAGGCCUACUUAUAGUAGUUACAUGUUCACAAUAUUUGCAUUCUUGAUCAUUUUGGGGGUUGCAUUAGUAGACAUUGCAUACUCUUGUUAUCUUAUAUAUAGUUUUUACUCUUUAUGGUACAAUCUAAUUUAUAUAUUAUCGUAACGAAUCUAUCAUAUCUUACUUAAGUUAGAUUAUCAAGUUCUGUUUGGUGAUUCUUAAAAUAGAGAAAGUACUGGAAGGGCAGGAUCAAAGGUGUUGUAUGGCUUGUAUUGACGGGGCAGAGGAAGAGACAUGUGUCAAGGAUUACCACCUCAUCUGCCCCAAAGACUUACAAGCAUGAACGUUUGCUACUAUAAUUUACAAGCAGUUGCAAGGGCAUUGACCUUUAUGAUGCAAAAUGUUUGGGGCAGAUGAGGUGCUUUCGCUUCCCUCAUAAGGUGCUUUUGCUUUUCAUUAUGCAAACAUCAGAUUAUGUUAGUUCUAUUAAUUUGGCAGAUAUCAAGGGGGUCAAAACUUCAAAUAAGAAGAACCAUAAAAAGCAGAAG